GAAAGAUAAUCAUGACUCAAUCAGUGCAAUCUCACUUCUGAAGAAGUCUCUUACGACUGGGGCUAAACAGAAAGCAACGAUGUGAGUCUGCAGUAAUGACAAGUGUUUUCAGGCACCAGGAACCAGCUUAUUUUUUAACCUCCUGCAGUAAGUGUUGUCAUAUUGGAAGAUGGAAAUUCCACCCGGCAGCAUCCAUCUUAGAAACUGUUUAUAGCAUCAACUUAGAGAUGUGCCACAAAUUCACUCUUGAGAGAUGGAGACCAGUUUAGAGGAUCCUCUGGCUGCCAUUUCAGAUGAGAGCUUUCCAACGCUACUCAUCUUUCCUGAACAUUGUUUGUAAUUUCAUCACCUGAGUUUUAAAAUCCAAUCCGGCUGUCAAUUUCAUGGGUCCCAACAGUGAUGAGCAUCUCCAGGUGGUGGGCAGAGACUCGACAACUACCACAUCUUGUUGAAAUAGGUAAAGUCUUCUUCUGGUGUGAAUGAACUUUACUGUUCAACACUGAUAGAAGUAGAAAGCAACUGGAAGCACAGACGAUAAUUAUUUAAUUUGGAGAUACAGCAUGGAACAGAUCCUUCCGGCCCAGUGAGCUGCACCACCCAGCAUCCCACCUAUUUAACUCUAGCCUAAUCACAGGACAAUUUACAAUGAGCAAUUAAACUACUAACAGUACACCUUUGGAAUAUGGGAGGAAACUGGAGCACCUGGAGGAAAACUAUACACUCUCAGGAAAGAUAUACAAGCUUCAUACAGGCAACAUCGGAAUUGAGCUCCAAACUCCGAUGAUCCGAGCUGUGAUGGCAUCACGUUAACCACUGUGAUACCAUAGAGUCCCAACGUAUGGUAGGUUGGUAGUAAGUAUUUUAGGCAACACAUAGAAUUCAGAAAUGUGUUAAAU